rnacentral:rRNA from 1 species
AGAGGGUGCAAGCGUUAAUCGGAAUUACUGGGCGUAAAGGGUGCGUAGGUGGUUUGUUAAGUCAGGCGUGAAAUCCCUGGGCUCAACCUGGGAACUGCGUUUGAUACUGGCAGACUCGAGUCUGGUAGAGGGUAGUGGAAUUCCGCAUGUAGCGGUGAAAUGCGUAGAUAUGCGGAGGAACAUCAGUGGCGAAGGCGGCUACCUGGACCAAGACUGACACUGAGGUACGAAAGCGUGGGGAGCAAACAGGAUUAGAUACCCUGGUAGUCCACGCCCUAAACGAUGUCUACUAGUUGUCGGAGGGUAACUCCUUCGGUAACGCAGCUAACGCGUGAAGUAGACCGCCUGGGGAGUACGGUCGCAAGAUUA